rnacentral:rRNA from 1 species
AGAGUUUGAUCCUGGCUCAGAGCGAACGCUGGCGGCGUGCUUAACACAUGCAAGUCGAACGGGUGUAGCAAUACAUUCGUGGCGAACGGGUGCGUAACACGUGGAUAACCUUCCUUCAGGUGGGGAAUAACCCAGUGAAAAUUGGGCUAAUACCGCAUAACAAUGCGAGGGCACAUGCUCUUGCUUUCAAAGGCGCAAGU